rnacentral:lncRNA from 1 species
AGAUGAUGCUGGCUCCCAGGGCCACCACAGAGGAAAAACCCCCGAUCUUGAUAUACACAAUCCCCAGGCUCAGGAAGAUGUGGAAAAUCCAGCGCCUUGUUUUCCUGUUCAUAUUCCUUGCUUGCCGUGUCUCAGCCCAACAUGCGAAAUGAUGCCCGCGGCGCUGCUGGGCCGGGUCGCUCCCCGCUCCGGGCCGGGUCACGGCACUGCGCCCGACCGGGGCAGCCCCCGCCGCGCCCCGCGCCGCCCGCCGCUGCCUGCCGGGGUCUGCCCGGGGCCGCCGAGCAUGGCCCCGCGGGGCUGCGCUCUGCCCCUCUCGCCGCCUUUCCUUCGCUCCCGGAUUUGUAUGCCUGUCACACGCAGCGCUUUAUUGCCGGCGAUGUACGGGGCUGCGGGAUCCUCCCGAGCGCCGGCGGCUCCGGGCUUUCCCCCCAGGUUCAAUGUUAACUAUCUCCCUGUCUCUCUCUUUUUUUCUUUUCCUCCCUUUCUCUCUUCUUCAGCUACUUGGGCGUGUUCUCCAAAGGAGGGAGUUGUCCAGCCGGGGGGGAAGAAAGGCGGGGGAGGUGGGAAGAAGGGUAACGAGAAAUGGCAAACAGAUCACCUGCUUGCCAGGAGGCUCACAGCGAUCCUCCUCGGGCGGAGGGCACGGCUCCUCCGAAGGGCACGGCCCGGGGAAAGGCGGCGUGGACGCGGCGGGGUGGCACCAGGGGGCGCCCCGUGGGCUGCCCCGGCGGUGCGCCCUGCUGGCCGCGGGGCGCCGGGCGGCAUGGGGCCGCCGUGCCGGGCCCGCACCGCACCGCACCGCACCGCACCGCACCCGCUGCUGCUGGCACGGGGCAGGAGCUUC